UACGUAGGGGGCUAGCGUUGCUCGGAAUCACUGGGCGUAAAGGGUGCGUAGGCGGGUCUUUAAGUCAGGGGUGAAAUCCUGGAGCUCAACUCCAGAAAUGCCUUUGAUACUGAAGAUCUUGAGGUCGGGAGAGGUGAGUGGAACUCCGAGUGUAGAGGUGAAAUUCGUAGAUAUUCGCAAGAACACCAGUGGCGAAGGCGGCUCACUGGCCCGAUACUGACGCUGAGGCACGAAAGCGUGGGGAGCAAACAGG
rnacentral:rRNA from 1 species